rnacentral:rRNA from 1 species
AGCUACAGGCUUAACACAUGCAAGUCGAGGGGCAGCAUGGUCUUAGCUUGCUAAGACUGAUGGCGACCGGCGCACGGGUGAGUAACACGUAUCCAACCUGCCGUCUACUCUUGGACAGCCUUCUGAAAGGAAGAUUAAUACAAGAUGGCAUCAUGAGUCCGCAUGUUCACAUGAUUAAAGGUAUUCCGGUAGACGAUGGGGAUGCGUUCCAUUAGAUAGUAGGCGGGGUAACGGCCCACCUAGUCUUCGAUGGAUAGGGGUUCUGAGAGGAAGGUCCCCCACAUUGGAACUGAGACACGGUCCAAACUCCUACGGGAGGCAGCAGUGAGGAAUAUUGGUCAAUGGGCGAGAGCCUGAACCAGCCAAGUAGCGUGAAGGAUGACUGCCCUAUGGGUUGUAAACUUCUUUUAUAAAGGAAUAAAGUCGGGUAUGCAUACCCGUUUGCAUGUACUUUAUGAAUAAGGAUCGGCUAACUCCGUGCCAGCAGCCGCGGUAAUACGGAGGAUCCGAGCGUUAUCCGGAUUUAUUGGGUUUAAAGGGAGCGUAGAUGGAUGUUUAAGUCAGUUGUGAAAGUUUGCGGCUCAACCGUAAAAUUGCAGUUGAUACUGGAUAUCUUGAGUGCAGUUGAGGCAGGCGGAAUUCGUGGUGUAGCGGUGAAAUGCUUAGAUAUCACGAAGAACUCCGAUUGCGAAGGCAGCCUGCUAAGCUGCAACUGACAUUGAGGCUCGAAAGUGUGGGUAUCAAACAGGAUUAGAUACCCUGGUAGUCCACACGGUAAACGAUGAAUACUCGCUGUUUGCGAUAUACGGCAAGCGGCCAAGCGAAAGCGUUAAGUAUUCCACCUGGGGAGUACGCCGGCAACGGUGAAACUCAAAGGAAUUGACGGGGGCCCGCACAAGCGGAGGAACAUGUGGUUUAAUUCGAUGAUACGCGAGGAACCUUACCCGGGCUUAAAUUGCAGAUGAAUUACGGUGAAAGCCGUAAGCCGCAAGGCAUCUGUGAAGGUGCUGCAUGGUUGUCGUCAGCUCGUGCCGUGAGGUGUCGGCUUAAGUGCCAUAACGAGCGCAACCCUUGUUGUCAGUUACUAACAGGUUCCGCUGAGGACUCUGACAAGACUGCCAUCGUAAGAUGUGAGGAAGGUGGGGAUGACGUCAAAUCAGCACGGCCCUUACGUCCGGGGCUACACACGUGUUACAAUGGGGGGUACAGAGGGCCGCUACCACGCGAGUGGAUGCCAAUCCCAAAAACCUCUCUCAGUUCGGACUGGAGUCUGCAACCCGACUCCACGAAGCUGGAUUCGCUAGUAAUCGCGCAUCAGCCACGGCGCGGUGAAUACGUUCCCGGGCCUUGUACACACCGCCCGUCAAGCCAUGGGAGCCGGGGGUACCUGAAGUGCGUAACCGCGAGGAGCGCCCUAGGGUAAAACUGGUGACUGGGGCU